rnacentral:lncRNA from 1 species
UCCCGAUUGAGUUAGGGAUUUGGCAUUGCGUUCCCAUCUCCUCUCCUCUCCUCCACCUCCCGCCUCUCCUCUCCGGCUCCCUCUUGCCGACGAUUUUUGCCUCCCCGUCGGCGGCGACCACGGCACAUGACGCCUCCCGAUCGCGGCUACAUCACCUCGUCGACGCCCCCCUCCUUCUUGCUCGUCGGAACCGGUUCUUCCCGGAGGUAAACCCUAUCCUACCGAGGGUUUCAUUAUUUCUUUGCUCGGCGGCGCCUGUGUUCAUCUCCUUCUCAGCCAGGACCAAACGUGUGGCUACAUCACCUCGUCGACGCCCCUCUCCUUCUUGCUCGUCGGAACCGGUUCUUCCCGGAGGUAAACCCUAACCUACCGAGGGUUUCCUUAUUUCUUUGCUCGGCCAGGACAUGGCGUUAAUUGAGCUUUUAAAACUUGUUGACAAUGUCCUUUAACUAUAUAUGAGAUAUUCAUGUUGAUGCUAAUGAUGCUUAUCAUGUGUUUCUUCCUUUUUUUCUAUUUUAUUAUUUCCUGUUUUUAUUACUGUAAUGCUUGCCCUUCUUUACAAUCUACCUUGCUUCUAUUUUUCUCAGUUACCAUACAACAUACCGACAUGAGUCUUGAGGCCAGGGCAUAAUAUUAAAGAUUGUUUGGGAAUUUGAUUUCAUUUUUUCCCCCCUUCUUCCUGCCAAAGAAAUGGGAGCCACUUUAUCAUAACCAGCCAGUUAAUCUUAAAUGGUUCUGAGAUACUAUUUGAAUAUAUCAUAUAUAGGAUCCUUUACACAUUAUUUUGCCUUUUUCUUUUUCUUAAGCUAGCUAAUUUCUAAUUUUGCCACAUAAAAUUGUCUUUCAUGGGACAUUUAUUUGCAGACUGCUUCAUAUUAUUGUAUAUCUGGUCCACAUGAUGCUAACUUUGUUUGCAUCCUUAGUUUUCCCAGUCUAACUAUAAAAUGUAUUCAGUCAUUCACUUCUACACCAUGCAUUGUGUGGGGUAUUAGUGGGUCUGCAACACAUUGAUGAUGUUUGAGUUUUGUCAGGAGUGCUCAUUGUGGCAAGUAAUUGUCACUUACUCUAGAACUAAUCCUCUCUCAAAUGUCAGUGACGAAGCAAU